CUGGCCAAUGAGAUAAGAAUGCAUGUGCAAAAUUUAGCAGGAGAAGAGGUACACCAUUUAAUUAGUUUGCUGCUAGGUAAGCAAUGCUUUUGGGUCUUUGUCAAUGGUGAGAAAACAAGCGAGGUGAUCCAGACAGGAGCUACUGCCAUGGCAACAAGGGCCAGCUGUCACCUCUGUCUGUGUUCCUGGUCUUCACUGGUUUUCACUAGAAAAAGGAGACUGGAGACUAGAGCUCUGUUUUUACUCUGACCCAUGUGUCUGUCACAGCUGCAGACCCGGCGCCAGGAUAAAGUCACUAAGGAAGCAGUUGAAAUCGAUCUUCAGGAACAGUUGGAGGUGGAGUCGGCUGUGGAGCCAUUAUCCUGGCGGCGCUUGUGGAAGGGUGGGUAGGCUCUGCACGCGGAGCCAGCUGGAGCUCGGCAUCAUUAUCGCAGCUGGAAUUGGCGACGGCCUCGCUAGUUUGAUGCUGCUGCUCAUUGCUCUCCUUCUGCUUUGUUUGUGUACUUUAGCGAUGCCAAUUUCUGAUAUCCAUUGUGGCAGUGGCAGAUUAGCUGGUUCGAACUAGCUAAAUAGGCUAAUGUGAACUGAACUCUCAUUUUAAUAUGGUGAAACUAUUCCUUUAAAAAAAGUCCAUAAUAUUUCAGGUCACAUAACAAAAUAUAAUACUCUAUAAACUAUAUAACUAUAUAAACUGUAUAUACACUGCUCAAAAAAAUA